rnacentral:rRNA from 1 species
AUUGAACGCUGGCGGUAGGCUUAACACAUGCAAGUCGUGCGAGAAAGUAUCUUCGGAUAUGAGUAGAGCGGCGGACGGGUGAGUAACGCGUAGGAAUCUACCUAGUAGAAGGGGAUAGCCCGGGGAAACUCGGAUUAAUACCGUAUACCUCCUUCGGGAGAAAGAAGGCCUCUCAUUGAAGCUUUCGCUACUAGAUGAGCCUGCGUAAGAUUAGCUUGUUGGUGAGGUAAAGGCUCACCAAGGCGACGAUCUUUAGCGGGUCUGAGAGGACGAUCCGCCACAUUGGGACUGAGACACGGCCCAGACUCCUACGGGAGGCAGCAGUGGGGAAUAUUGGACAAUGGGCGCAAGCCUGAUCCAGCCAUACCGCGUGUGUGAAGAAGGCCCUAGGGUUGUAAAGCACUUUAAGUUGGGAAGAAAAGUUAUUGGUUAAUACCCAAUAGCCGUGACAUUACCAUCAGAAUAAGGACCGGCUAAUUCCGUGCCAGCAGCCGCGGUAAUACGGAAGGUCCAAGCGUUAAUCGGAAUUACUGGGCGUAAAGCGCGCGUAGGUGGUUUAUUAAGUUGGAUGUGAAAUCCCCGGGCUCAACCUGGGAACUGCAUCCAAAACUGAUUCACUAGAGUACGAUAGAGGGAGGUAGAAUUCACAGUGUAGCGGUGGAAUGCGUAGAUAUUGUGAAGAAUACCAAUGGCGAAGGCAGCCUCCUGGAUCUGUACUGACACUGAGGUGCGAAAGCGUGGGUAGCGAACAGGAUUAGAUACCCUGGUAGUCCACGCCGUAAACGAUGUCAACUAGCUGUUGGGGAACUAUGUUCUUCAGUGGCGCAGCUAACGUAGUAAGUUGACCGCCUGGGGAGUACGGCCGCAAGGCUAAAACUCAAAUGAAUUGACGGGGACCCGCACAAGCGGUGGAGCAUGUGGUUUAAUUCGAUGCAACGCGAAAAACCUUACCUAUACUUGACAUACU